rnacentral:rRNA from 1 species
AUGGUUGCACAAGCCUUUACCGUCGAUUUGGAUAAGCCUCUUGUAUUUCAGGUUGGUCAUCUGGAGGAACAGUAUCAAGACUGGGUUCACCAGCCAAUUGUUAGCAAGGAGGGGCCACGGUUUUUUGCCAAUGAUGUAUUGGAGUUCUUAACACGUACGAAAUGGUGGGCAGUUCCUCUCAUUUGGUUGCCUGUUGUUUGCUGGUGCCUGAAUACAUCGAUCCAAAUGGGCCACACAGUUCCAGAAGUAGCGCUGAUGGUUGUGGCAGGAAUAUUUAUCUGGACACUGGUUGAAUACGUGCUACAUCGGUACCUGUUCCACAUAGAUACUAAAAGUUACUGGACAAACACGGCUCAUUAUCUUCUGCAUGGAUGCCAUCACAAGCAUCCAAUGGAUGGGCUUCGACUUGUAUUUCCACCAACUGCCGCAGCCAUCUUGUGCUAUCCGUUCUGGAAUUUUGUCAAGCUCUUCACAACUACAACUACCACUCCUGGCGUGUUUGGAGGUGGCCUGUUGGGUUACGUGAUCUAUGAUUGCACACACUACUACCUGCAUCACGCCCACCCUUCAUUCGAUCCAGCAAAAUAUCUCAAGAAAUACCAUCUGAACCAUCACUUCAGAAUCCAAAACAAGGGCUUUGGAAUAACAUCAACCCUGUGGGACCAUGUGUUUGGAACGCUGCCUUCAACGAAAACCGCCGGCAAGAGCUCUUGA